rnacentral:sRNA from 1 species
AGCAGCCGCGGUAAUUCCAGCUCCAAUAGCGUAUAUUAAAGUUGCUGCAGUUAAAAAGCUCGUAGUUGAAUUUCGGGAUCAAUAUGUUGGUCGUGCCUCGGUACGUACUAGCUUAUUGGUUUCUCCCUUCUGACGAACCAUGAUGUCAUUUAUUUGGUGUUAUGGGAAAUCAGGACUGUUACUUUGAAAAAAUUAGAGUGUUUAAAGCAGGCUCACGCUUGAAUACAUUAGCAUGGAAUAAUGAAAUAGGACGUUUGAUUCUAUUUUGUUGGUUUCUAGGAUCGACGUAAUGAUUAAUAGGGAUAGUUGGGGGCAUUAGUAUUCAAUUGUCAGAGGUGAAAUUCUUGGAUUUAUUGAAGACUAACUACUGCGAAAGCAUUUGCCAAGGAUGUUUUCAUUAAUCAAGAACGAAAGUUAGGGGAUCGAAGACGAUCAGAUACCGUCGUAGUCUUAACCAUAAACUAUGCCGACUAGGGAUCGGAUGAUGUUAAUUUUUUUAAUGACUCAUUCGGCGCCUUAC